UGAGUAACGCGUGGGAAUCUACCCAUCUCUACGGGAUAGCUCCGGGAAACUGGAGAUAAUACCGUAUACGUCCUCCGGGAGAAAGAUUUAUCGGGGAUGGAUGAGCCCGCGUUGGAUUAGCUAGUUGGUGGGGUAAUGGCCUACCAAGGCGACGAUCCAUAGCUGGUCUAAGAGGAUGAUCAGCCACAUUGGGACUGAGACACGGCCCAAACUCCUACGGGAGGCAGCAGUGGGGAAUAUUGGACAAUGGGCGCAAGCCUGAUCCAGCCAUGCCGCGUGAGUGAUGAAGGCCCUAGGGUUGUAAAGCUCUUUCAGUGGGGACGAUAAUGACGGUACCCACAGAAGAAGCCCCGGCUAACUUCGUGCCAGCAGCCGCGGUAAUACGAAGGGGGCUAGCGUUGUUCGGAAUUACUGGGCGUAAAGCGCACGUAGGCGGACAUUUAAGUCAGGGGUGAAAUCCCGGGGCUCAACCCCGGAACUGCCUCUGAUACUGGGUGUCUUGAGUGUGGUAGAGGUGAGUGGAAUUGCGAGUGUAGAGGU
rnacentral:rRNA from 1 species